rfam:Legionella feeleii strain WO-44C Lfee_ctg014, whole genome shotgun sequence.
GCCGUUGUAGCUCAGUCGGUAGAGCACUUGAUUCGUAAUCAAUAGGUCCGCGGUUCGAUUCCGCGCAACGGCA